GGCGCAAGCCUGAUGCAGCCAUGCCGCGUGUGUGAAGAAGGCCUUCGGGUUGUAAAGCACUUUCAGUAAGGAGGAAAGGUUAAGUGUUAAUAGCACUUAGCUGUGACGUUACUUACAGAAGAAGCACCGGCUAACUCCGUGCCAGCAGCCGCGGUAAUACGGAGGGUGCGAGCGUUAAUCGGAAUUACUGGGCGUAAAGCGUACGCAGGCGGUUUGUUAAGCGAGAUGUGAAAGCCCCGGGCUCAACCUGGGAACUGCAUUUCGAACUGGCAAACUAGAGUGUGAUAGAGGGUGGUAGAAUUUCAGGUGUAGCGGUGAAAUGCGUAGAGAUCUGAAGGAAUACCGAUGGCGAAGGCAGCCACCUGGGUCAACACUGACGCUCAUGUACGAAAGCGUGGGGAGCAAACAGGAUUAGAUACCCUGGUAGUCCACGCCGUAAACGAUGUCUACUAGAAGCUCGGGUCUUCGGACUUGUUUUUCAAAGCUAACGCAUUAAGUAGACCGCCUG
rnacentral:rRNA from 1 species